AUCAAGCUGAUGUGUCUCAAAUAGGACGAAACAUGUGUCCUGAAU
rnacentral:hammerhead_ribozyme from 1 species